rnacentral:rRNA from 1 species
AUGGAAGAGGCGGCGGCGGCGAACUGCGUGAUGGGGUGCAUACACACCGACCUCCUGCAGGACACCGCUGCGUUGCUCUGGACGCGCAUCCUCCUCCGCCCCACUGCCGACCCGGCCGGCGCACGACGCAACGCCGAGGCAUUCAGUGGCAGCAGGAAUCCAUCCACUGCAUCCCCGGCAAACCUCCCUGUGCUCCAUUGCGCAGGCGUCGUCCGGGUGUCCGUCAAGGGCGAGUUUUCUGCGACUGGCCUAUGGGGACAUAAAGUAGUACUGGAGAUUUGGUGGUUCUUUUUUCGGAUUUUCACCUGCACCAGCAAUGUAGCGGAGAGACUCAGAAUCUUGGAGGCAGUCCCGGUCUCUGACUGGAGGUUUGGCAGCAAGCCACCAUAUCUCCAGUACUACUUUAUGUCACCAUGGACUCGAGUAUCGGUGAGUGCAGCACGGGUCUCCCACCGCUACAACUUUAGCUUCUCCUAA